CCCUUAGAUGUCCUGGGCCGCACGCGCGUUACACUGAUGCAUUCAACGCGCUUAUAACCUUGGCCGAGAGGCCUGGGCAAUCUUGUUAACGUGCAUCGUGAUAGGGAUAGAUUAUUGAAAUUAUUAAUCUUGAACGAGGAAUUCCUAGUAAACGCAGAUCAUCAAUCUGCAUUGAUUACGUCCCUGCCCUUUGUACACACCGCCCGUCGCACCUACCGAUUGGAUGGUCCGGUGAAGCCUCGGGAUUGUGGUUCUUGCCGCUUUAUUGUGGCGUGACCGCGAGAACUUGUCUAAACCUUAUCAUCUAGAGGAAGGUGAAGUCGUAACA
rnacentral:rRNA from 1 species